UACGUAGGGGGCUAGCGUUGUCCGGAUUUAUUGGGCGUAAAGAGCGUGUAGGCGGCCAGGUAGGUCUGCUGUGAAAACUCGAGGCUCAACCUCGAGACGUCGGCGGAAACCAUCUGGCUAGAGUCCGGAAGAGGAGAGUGGAAUUCCUGGUGUAGCGGUGAAAUGCGUAGAUAUCUGGAGGAACACCGGUGGCGAAGGCGGCAUCCUGGACCGGCAUUGACGCUGAGGCGCGAAAGCCAGGGGAGCAAACGGG
rnacentral:rRNA from 1 species